GUCCCACCUAUUCGAUUCAGAGGCACAUAUGCUAAAACUGGAACGAUAUUAGGAAGACGAUCAUGGCCUUGAGCAAGGACGACAUGAGAAAUUGUGAAGCUUCUUAUACUUUU
rnacentral:snRNA from 1 species